rnacentral:rRNA from 1 species
UACGAAGGGGGCUAGCGUUGUUCGGAAUCACUGGGCGUAAAGCGCACGUAGGCGGCUUUUUAAGUCAGGGGUGAAAUCCUGGAGCUCAACUCCAGAACUGCCUUUGAUACUGAGAAGCUUGAGUCCGGGAGAGGUGAGUGGAACUGCGAGUGUAGAGGUGAAAUUCGUAGAUAUUGGGAAGAACACCGGUGGCGAAGGCGGCGCUCUGGACCGAGACUGACGCUGAGGCGCGAAAGCGUGGGGAGCAAACAGG